UACGGGGGGAGCAAGCGUUGUUCGGAUUUACUGGGCGUAAAGGGCGCGUAGGCGGCCACCGCAAGUCGACUGUGAAAUCUCCGGGCUUAACCCGGAAAGGUCAGCCGAUACUGCGGGGCUAGAGUGCAGAAGGGGCAACUGGAAUUCUCGGUGUAGCGGUGAAAUGCGUAGAUAUCGAGAGGAACACCUGCGGCGAAGGCGGGCUGCUGGGCUGACACUGACGCUGAGGCGCGAAAGCUAGGGGAGCGAACGGG
rnacentral:rRNA from 1 species